GUAAUGUUCACAUCACCUGAUCAUUAGAAGUUAGAACAGUGUGAAGUUCAUUAAGCAUCAGUGAAUUGUCUAAAAUAAGACAAAUUCCUAGCAUGCUGAGAGUUGUCCUUCCAGUGAUUUUAAAUCUCUAUUUGAAGUCUUGACAUUUUAUGUUUUGUUCUUAAAGAAAUAGCAGUUGAAUAACAGCUGGUCAAGUCAAUGUUCCC
rnacentral:misc_RNA from 1 species